CCUACGGGAGGCAGCAGUGGGGAAUAUUGCACAAUGGGCGAAAGCCUGAUGCAGCAACGCCGCGUGAAGGAAGACGGUUUUCGGAUUGUAAACUUCUAUCAAUAGGGAAGAAAGAAAUGACGGUACCUAAAUAAGAAGCUCCGGCUAACUACGUGCCAGCAGCCGCGGUAAUACGUAGGGAGCAAGCGUUGUUCGGAAUGACUGGGCGUAAAGGGUGCGUAGGCGGUUGUACAAGUUAGAAGUGGAAUACCCAGGGCUUAACUCGGGUGCUGCUUCUAAAACUGUAUGACUUGAGUGCAGUAGAG
rnacentral:rRNA from 1 species